rnacentral:rRNA from 1 species
CUACGGGCUGCAGCAGUGGGGAAUAUUGCACAAUGGGCGCAAGCCUGAUGCAGCCAUGCCGCGUGUAUGAAGAAGGCCUUCGGGUUGUAAAGUACUUUCAGCGGGGAGGAAGGGAGUAAAGUUAAUACCUUUGCUCAUUGACGUUACCCGCAGAAGAAGCACCGGCUAACUCCGUGCCAGCAGCCGCGGUAAUACGGAGGGUGCAAGCGUUAAUCGGAAUUACUGGGCGUAAAGCGCACGCAGGCGGUUUGUUAAGUCAGAUGUGGAAUCCCCGGGCUCAACCUGGGAACUGCAUCUGAUACUGGCAAGCUUGAGUCUCGUAGAGGGGGGUAGAAUUCCAGGUGUAGCGGUGACAUGCGUAGAGAUCUGGAGGAAUACCGGUGGCGAAGGCGGCCCCCUGGACGAAGACUGACGCUCAGGUGCGAAAGCGUGGGGAGCAAACAGGAUUAGAUACCCGAGUAGUC